UUGUAANUUUGAGAAGGUGCUUGGGAAGAGGCAAUGGUCCAAGUCCCUUGGAAAAGGGCGUCAUAGAGGGUGAGAAUCCCGUACUUGACCAAUUGUCGAUUCCAUGUGAAGCCCUUUCGACGAGUCGAGUUGUUUGGGAAUGCAGCUCUAAAUGGGUGGUAAAUUUCAUCUAAAGCUAAAUAUCUGCCAGAGACCGAUAGCGCACAAGUAGAGUGAUCGAAAGAUGAAAAGCACUUUGAAAAGAGAGUCAAACAGUACGUGAAAUUGUUGAAAGGGAAGCGCUUGCAACCAGACUCGUUUGCAGAAGCUCAGCCUUCCUUCGGGAUGGUGUACUCUUCUGUGCACGGGCCAGCAUCAGUUUCGGCGACCGGAUAAAGAUUCUGAGAACGUAGCUCUCUUUGGAGAGUGUUAUAGCUCGGAAUGUAAUGCGGCAGCUGAGACUGAGGUCCGCGCUUUUGCUAGGAUGCUGGCAUAAUGGUUGUU
rnacentral:rRNA from 1 species